ACGCUGGCGGCAGGCCUAACACAUGCAAGUCGAGCGGAAACGACACUAACAAUCCUUCGGAUGCGUUAAUGGGCGUCGAGCGGCGGACGGGUGAGUAAUGCCUAGGAAAUUGCCUUGAUGUGGGGGAUAACCAUUGGAAACGAUGGCUAAUACCGCAUAAUGCCUACGGGCCAAAGAGGGGGAUCUUCGGACCUCUCGCGUCAAGAUAUGCCUAGGUGGGAUUAGCUAGUUGGUGAGGUAAUGGCUCACCAAGGCGACGAUCCCUAGCUGGUCUGAGAGGAUGAUCAGCCACACUGGAACUGAGACACGGUCCAGACUCCUACGGGAGGCAGCAGUGGGGAAUAUUGCACAAUGGGCGAAAGCCUGAUGCAGCCAUGCCGCGUGUAUGAAGAAGGCCUUCGGGUUGUAAAGUACUUUCAGUUGUGAGGAAGGGKGURWMGUUAAUAGCKKYRYMUCUUGACGUUAGCAACAGAAGAAGCACCGGCUAACUCCGUGCCAGCAGCCGCGGUAAUACGGAGGGUGCGAGCGUUAAUCGGAAUUACUGGGCGUAAAGCGCAUGCAGGUGGUUCAUUAAGUCAGAUGUGAAAGCCCGGGGCUCAACCUCGGAACUGCAUUUGAAACUGGUGAACUAGAGUGCUGUAGAGGGGGGUAGAAUUUCAGGUGUAGCGGUGAAAUGCGUAGAGAUCUGAAGGAAUACCAGUGGCGAAGGCGGCCCCCUGGACA
rnacentral:rRNA from 3 species